rnacentral:rRNA from 1 species
GAGGACUGAGGGGGGCUGCUCCUAGUACGAGAGGACCGGAGUGGACGCAUCACUGGUGUUCGGGUUGUCAUGCCAAUGGCACUGCCCGGUAGCUAAAUGCGGAAGAGAUAAGUGCUGAAAGCAUCUAAGCACGAAACUUGCCCCGAGAUGAGUUCUCCCUGACUCCUUGAGAGUCCUGAAGGAACGUUGAAGACGACGACGUUGAUAGGCCGGGUGUGUAAGCGCAGCGAUGCGUUGAGCUAACCGGUACUAAUGAACCGUGAGGCUUAACCUUACAACGCCGAAG